CGCCAAAUUUCCGACGUAGUCAGGCGG
rnacentral:sRNA from 1 species